rnacentral:snRNA from 1 species
AUCGCUUCUCAGCCUUUUGGCUAAGAUCAAGUGUACUAUUCUUGGGAGUAGAUACCCUUCCAAACCAUCCAAUUAUUCCCUACUGUUUGAUUUCCUAUUGUUUUUAACUUCUCAUGAUUAUUUUAAAAUACUACAAUAAGCAUUUUCAUAUAUGUAGUUUUCUUCCAUUCUUUGAGACUAGAUUGUAUAGUCUAGUAGUCAAUGACUAUUUC